CCCAACUAUCCCUAUUAAUCAUUACGGUGAUCCUAGAAACCAACAAAAUAGAACCAUGCCGUCCUAUUCUAUUAUUCCAGCUCCAAUAGCGUAUAUUAAAGUUGUUGCAGUUAAAAAGCUCGUAGUUGAAUUUCGGGAUUAGUACGCUGGUCGUGCCUUCGGUACGUACUGGUGUUACUGAUUUCUACCUUCUGACGAACCAUCAUGUCAUUAAUUUGGUGUGGUGGGGAAUCAGGACUGUUACUUUGAAAAAAUUAGAGUGUUUAAAGCAGGCUCGCGCUUGAAUACAUUAGCAUGGAAUAAUGAAAUAGGACGUUGAUCCUAUUUUGUUGGUUUCUAGGAUUGACGUAAUGAUUAAUAGGGAUAGUUGGGCGUACAGUUAUC
rnacentral:misc_RNA from 1 species